UGGUGGGUAGUUUGACUGGGGCGGUCUCCUCCCAAAGCGUAACGGAGGAGCACGAAGGUGGGCUAAUCACGGUUGGACAUCGUGAGGUUAGUGCAAUGGCAUAAGCCCGCUUGACUGCGAGAAUGACAAUUCGAGCAGGUGCGAAAGCAGGUCAUAGUGAUCCGGUGGUUCUGAAUGGAAGGGCCAUCGCUCAACGGAUAAAAGGUACUCCGGGGAUAACAGGCUGAUACCGCCCAAGAGUUCAUAUCGACGGCGGUGUUUGGCACCUCGAUGUCGGCUCAUCACAUCCUGGGGCUGAAGUCGGUCCCAAGGGUAUGGCUGUUCGCCAUUUAAAGUGGUACGCGAGCUGGGUUUAGAACGUCGUGAGACAGUUCGGUCCCUAUCUGCCGUGGGCGUUGGAGAAUUGAAAGGGGCUGCUCCUAGUACGAGAGGACCGGAGUGGACGAACCUCUGGUGUUCGGGUUGUGUCGCCAGACGCAUUGCCCGGUAGCUAAGUUCGGGAUCGAUAACCGCUGAAAGCAUCUAAGCGGGAAGCGAGCCUUGAGAUGAGUUCUCCCUGAUACUUUAAGUAUCCUAAAGGGUUGUCGUAGACUACGACGUUGAUAGGCAGGGUGUGUAAGCGUUGUGAGGCGUUGAGCUAACCUGUACUAAUUGCCCGUGAGGC
rnacentral:rRNA from 1 species